rnacentral:rRNA from 1 species
GACGAACGCUGGCGGCGUGCCUAAUACAUGCAAGUAGAACGCUGAAGAGAGGAGCUUGCUCUUCUUGGAUGAGUUGCGAACGGGUGAGUAACGCGUAGGUAACCUGCCUGGUAGCGGGGGAUAACUAUUGGAAACGAUAGCUAAUACCGCAUAAAAUUGAUUAUUGCAUGAUAAUCCAUUGAAAGGUGCAACUGCACCACUACCAGAUGGACCUGCGUUGUAUUAGCUAGUUGGUGGGGUAACGGCUCACCAAGGCGACGAUACAUAGCCGACCUGAGAGGGUGAUCGGCCACACUGGGACUGAGACACGGCCCAGACUCCUACGGGAGGCAGCAGUAGGGAAUCUUCGGCAAUGGACGGAAGUCUGACCGAGCAACGCCGCGUGAGUGAAGAAGGUUUUCGGAUCGUAAAGCUCUGUUGUAAGAGAAGAACGAGUGUGAGAGUGGAAAGUUCACACUGUGACGGUAUCUUACCAGAAAGGGACGGCUAACUACGUGCCAGCAGCCGCGGUAAUCCGUAGGUCCCGAGCGUUGUCCGGAAUUAUUGGGGGGAAAGCGAGCGCAGCGGGUAAAUAAGUCUGAAUUUUAAGGGUUGUCGGCUUA